GGCGUAGUCUAGUCCACUCCAAAAUGCCCCGGUUCUCGCCAUGCCUCUCCCCAGCGCAACCUGACCCCGGCCAACUGAGCAGGUAUUUGGGGAGCUCUCCCCACAUGGCAUCUGGCCUGAUGUAAGGAACCUCAUUGGCUUGUAGUAGUCUGGGCAACCAUGUUUCGGUGAUGGAAGACCUAGUGCUUUGUUUGGUGCCUGGCACAUAAUAGGUGCUUGGCAAAUACCUUAGAGAAAAAAAAAAGCUGUUACCUGUCUAACCAGAAUCCCUAGACUAGCUUGCAAUUUGAUCCGCAAGUGGUGGUGAGCUUGAGCUGAUACAAAUUGUCCAUCCUGAGCUGCUCACAGCAGCCUCCUCCCUAUUUUCUAGUGGGUUCCCGGCUCAAUUUUUCGCAGCCGGAAACACCAGCCAGCCCCUUCAAAGUGGCAAACAGAACUCAUCAUUCUAGCGGAAGAACUGCUUGCAGAGAACCCUUACUUAAAAUGAGUUUCGGAAAGGCAUGCCCUGAGCAACUAUUGGAAUUUCAUUUGAAAUCUAAAACCGCACAAGCUACUCUCUAGCUUUUUACUCCUCUAACUCUGACCUCCAAGAAACAACUGUAAUUAGGUUUACAUUUGUAGACAUGCAGUACAGCAAUUAGCCAGUAAGGAUGAUUAUAGGGUUCACCUCUCCUGCUAUCAAUAGAUUGUCUUUGUUGCCACAAAACACAGAGUGAUUGUCCUGCUCUUUUUUUAUGACAUGCAAUAAUUAGAGCGCCUUAGCUAGAAUUUUCUGACUGCCACAUGCAAAGAGAUCAGAAUCGGACUGCAAUAAAGGCUCUUAUAUAGGCAACCACAAUUUCAGCGGUGUCUCUCGAUGCUGCUCUCCUGAUCUCAGUCAGUCAGUGACAUUUCUUGAUUGGCAAACGGAGUGGAAACCAACGGCAUCAAAAUACAAGUUCUGGACUUGGAAGAAGUUAGACUUGGCGGGACUUUAUGCGUCAGCCACCUUUACAGUCAUAGACCAGAGGGUCGGGAAGGCUUCUGGCCUAGCCUUCAAGAGAGGCCACAUUACCAUGGCAACUGUAUCACUCCCCUGGAUUUGAAAAGAAGGAGGAUGCCACUAAUAGCAAUGAGAGCUGGCAGAUAAAAUGACCCACCGACCCCUCACGUGGAACAUCAGCGGAGCUGCCGUUACCAGCGGUCCUCAGACACCGUC
rnacentral:lncRNA from 1 species